AAACCAACAGGGAUUGCCUCAGUAACGGCGAGUGAAGCGGCAAGAGCUCAAAUUUGAAAUCCGGCCCCCCUGGGGGCCUGAGUUGUAAUUUGCAGAGGAUGCUUCGGGCGCGACCGCGGUCCAAGUCCCCUGGAACGGGGCGUCGUAGAGGGUGAGAAUCCCGUCUCCGGCCGGCCGGUCUCGCCCGUGUGAAGCUCCUUCGACGAGUCGAGUUGUUUGGGAAUGCAGCUCCAAAUGGGUGGUAAAUUUCAUCUAAAGCUAAAUACUGGUCGGAGACCGAUAGCGCACAAGUAGAGUGAUCGAAAGAUGAAAAGCACUUUGAAAAGAGAGUUAAACAGCAUGUGAAAUUGUUGAAAGGGAAGCGCUUGCGACCAGAGUCGGCCGCGGGGGUUCAGCGGGCAUUCGUUGCCCGUGCAAUCCCCCGCGGCCGGGCCAGCGUCGGUUUUGACGGCCGGUCAAAGGCCCCCGGAAUGUGUCGCCUCUCGGGGCGUCUUAUAGCCGGGGGUGCAAUGCGGCCAGUCGGGACCGAGGAACGCGCUCCGGCACGGACGCUGGCUUAAUGGUCGUCAGCGAC
rnacentral:rRNA from 1 species